rnacentral:lncRNA from 1 species
AUGAGGACUAUACAGACCUCUACAUCAUAUGCCAUUACUUCCAAUCUGAGAAGCCCUGAAGGAAGACAGCACAGGAAUGAAGAGCUCGAGAAAGUCAUGGAUACCGUAAACACCAAUUUCCUGACUUCUGGAAGGGUCGUCUUCCUGCAUCGUGGAGGCAUGCAGGCUGGAGGGCACCGCAGACCGACCUUACUCAAAGCAGGGCCAGUUAGAUUAGGCUGCUCAGGGCUGUGUCCAGUCAAUGAUUGGAUACCUCCAGAGAUGUAGAAUGUAGGGCUCAUUUGGAUCUCCUAUCCAGUGUUUGGACAUCCUGAUGGUAAUUUUUAUUCUUGUAUCAAAUAAGAAUUUCUUGAGUUCCAUCUUGUACCUAUUGCCUUUCCGCCUUUUAUGCUGGUCCUCUUCCUUCUUCUCCCCCACAAACGGUAACAACACCACCAAGAAAAAAGCUGGCUCCAUUUUCUCUAAGCUCUCCAUAUAGGUAACUGAAGACAGCAACUCUAGUUCUGAUGUGAGUUUCUCAUGAACUUAAGCCAUGAAUUGAAAGAGAGAAUCUAAGGUGUUACCAUAAUAUUUACAAACUGUUUUAUGAUACAGCAUUAUUUGCUGUAGCAUAAAGCAGAAUCACUCCUUCAUGACAACUUUUGUAUUUCACUACAACAACAAAGAAGGCAAUUACAUUUGAAAAAAUCAGAGGACAGUGUGUUGGUGAAAAGCUGACACUGCAUAAAGUACUCAAGCUGUCAAAAAGCACAUGCAUUAAAAAUGCAAAAGAAAAUGAUGCCCUGCUUUGCCAAGAUGCUUUGAGGCACGUUGUGAAGGAAAGUGCAAAGAGCAAUACCACUAGAUGUCACCCUCCUUCCACUGAGAAUUCAGCAGCAGUCUUUUUUUUUUUUUUUUUUUUUUUUCUUUUUUUUUCCUCCAGUUUGUGAUUUUACAAGUAUUGCUGGUUGAACUAGUAACAUGCUGAUUGCAAUUAUGCUUUGCCAGAUGUGUUGAUUUGUAAUCCAAUUAAAAACUGUUUGGUGGUGGUGGUGUUGGAUGUAGUAGUAGCAGCAGUAGUAGUAGUAGCAGUGGUAGUAGUAGCCUUGUGCUCAGUUUUAAAAGACUAACUCUCAGGUGAGAAUCCAAUUUGGGUUUUGCUGCUAAUCUAAGAUGAAACAUUGCCUGUUAAGUUCAUCCAAUGCUGCUGUAGCACAGCAGACAGUGGAUUGGGAGGGAGGGCACAAAGUCAAGGUCUUAUUCCCAUAUAUGUUAAUGACAUUCUGUAUGGAUUGGGCAAGACAUUUCACCUCAGCUUUUCAGUUUUCCCUCUGCUGUUGACAGAAUAGAUUCCUCAGUGUAGUCUCCAAUUAUGAUGGUUGUAUUACCCUUGAAAUUAGUGGUAAAUGUUAAUAAUGUGAUCUGCUCUAGCAGGCCUGAAUGUAAAUGAAUCAUAGAAUCAUAGAAUAUCCCGAGUUGGAAAGGACCCUUAAGGAUCAUCAAGUCCAACUCCAUAGUCCAACUCCAAAUCAUAAAAUCAUUAAGGUUGGAAAAGACCUCCAAGAUCAUCAGGCUCAAACAAUCCCUCCAGUCAAUGUUACCCACUUAACGGUCUCUGUAAAGACCACAUCCAACCUUUCCCUAAAUACCCUCAGGUAUGGUGACUCCACCACCUCCCUGGGCAACCUGUCCCAAUGCCUA